rnacentral:rRNA from 1 species
GACGAACGCUGGCGGCGUGCUUAACACAUGCAAGUCGAACGGAAAGGCCCUGCUUUUGUGGGGUGCUCGAGUGGCGAACGGGUGAGUAACACGUGAGUAACCUGCCCUUGACUUUGGGAUAACUUCAGGAAACUGGGGCUAAUACCGGAUAGGUGCUCCUGCUGCAUGGUGGGGGUUGGAAAGUUUCGGCGGUUGGGGAUGGACGCGCGGCUUAUCAGCUUGUUGGUGGGGUAGUGGCUUACCAAGGCUUUGACGGGUAGCCGGCCUGAGAGGGUGACCGGCCACAUUGGGACUGAGAUACGGCCCAGACUCCUACGGGAGGCAGCAGUGGGGAAUAUUGCACAAUGGGCGGAAGCCUGAUGCAGCAGCGCCGCGUGCGGGAUGACGGCCUUCGGGUUGUAAACCGCUUUCGCCUGUGACGAAGCGUGAGUGACGGUAAUGGGUAAAGAAGCACCGGCUAACUACGUG